rnacentral:lncRNA from 1 species
AUUUAUUUGUUUUAGAAUGACAUGGGGAAAUGGAAGGAGAAAAAAAAAAACAAUGCUAAAAAGCCUAGAGAUGACCACAUAUGAAACGACCAUGUGUGUAAAGGAUUGCUGGAAAAUAAAUCAGAGAUGGCCUGGAUUCUGCCAUGUAAAUCAAAGAAGAGAGGGCCUAACUCAGCUGCCUAGCCUGGAUCACCUGGAACCCAUUAGGAUACAGGAUCAUAAACACCUCUAUUUUCCCUUCAGAGAGAGACCAGAACCACUGGAGUUAAGCUACCUGCAUAAGAGUUGAGUGCGAUCAGCUGUACUUAAUCUUUAAAUGUCCAACCCACUGAUAACCUUUGGUUUGCUUUGAUAACUAUGAAAUAAAUUCUCACUGCAUUGGA